rnacentral:rRNA from 1 species
AGAGUUUGAUCAUGGCUCAGGAUGAACGCUAGCUACAGGCUUAACACAUGCAAGUCGAGGGGAAACGACAUCGAAAGCUUGCUUUUGAUGGGCGUCGACCGGCGCACGGGUGAGUAGCGCGUAUCCAACCUGCCCAUCACUUGGGGAUAACCUUGCGAAAGUAAGACUAAUACCCAAUGAUAUCUCUAGAAGACAUCUGAAAGAGAUUAAAGAUUUAUCGGUGAUGGAUGGGGAUGCGUCUGAUUAGCUUGUUGGCGGGGUAACGGCCACCAAGGCUACGAUCAGUAGGGUUCUGAGAGGAAGGUCCCCCANAUUGGAACUGAGACACGGUCCAAACUCCUACGGGAGGCA